rnacentral:rRNA from 1 species
GACACGCUGGCGGCGUGCCUAACACAUGCAAGUCGAGCGGAGAUGUACUGAAGAUUUAUCGGAUGUACAUCUUAGCGGCGGACGGGUGAGUAACGCGUGGGCAACCUGCCUUUCACUGGGGGAUAACACAGGGAAACCUGUGCUAAUACCGCAUGACAUCACGUAGGGCAUCCUAUGUGAUCAAAGGAGAGAUCCGGUGGAAGAUGGGCCCGCGUCCAAUUAGCUGGUUGGUGAGGUAAAGGCUCACCAAGGCGACGAUUGGUAGCCGAACUGAGAGGUUGAUCGGCCACAUUGGGACUGAGACACGGCCCAGACUCCUACGGGAGGCAGCAGUGGGGAAUAUUGCGCAAUGGGGGGAACCCUGACGCAGCAACGCCGCGUGAAGGAAGAAGGUCUUCGGAUUGUAAACUUCUUUGAUGAGGGACGAAUAAAGUGACGGUACCUCAAAAACAAGCCACGGCUAACUACGUG